rnacentral:lncRNA from 1 species
AGGAGCUCCUGUGAGGAGCCUGAGAGCAGCGCCGCCGGCUCCUGUGAGGAGCCUGAGAGCAGCGCCGCCGGCUCCUGUGAGGAGCCUGAGAGCAGCGCCGCCGGCUCUAGUAAGGACGCCGCUCCUGUCCUUGUCGGCCAUGUUGAGGCCGUUCCUGUUCCUGUCGGCCAAGUAGAGGUCGUUCCUGUUCCUGUCGGCCAAGUAGAGGUCGUUCCUGUUCCUGUCGGCCAAGUAGAGGUCGUUCCUGUUCCUGUCGGCCAUGUAGAGGUCGUUGCAGUCCCUGUCGGCCAUGUAGAGGUCGUUCCAGUCCCUGUCCGCCAUGUAGAGGUCGUUCCAGUCCCUGUCCCAGUCCCUGUCGGCCAUGUUGCGGCCGUUCCAGUCCCUGUUCCUGUCGGCCAUGUUGCGGCCGUUCCAGUCCCUGUUCCUGUCGGCCAUGUUGCGGCCGUUCCAGUCCCUGUUCCUGUUCCUGUCGGCCAUGUUGCGGCCGUUCCAGUCCCUGUUCCUGUUCCUGUCGGCCAUGUUGCGGCCGUUCCUGUCGGCCAUGUUGCUGCCGUUCCUGUCAAUCUCGGAGUGGCAGUCCCUGCGCACCUCCAGGAGGAGGUCGCGCCAGCUGCAGUGCCCGCUGACCUCCAGGAGGAGGUCGCGCCAGCCGGAGCUGCCGCCGCGGUUCCCGCCGACCUCCAGGAGGAGGUCGCCCCCGUCCUAGCUCCAGCCGACCUCCAGGAGGAGGUCGCCCCCGUCCUAGCUCCAGCCGACCUCCAGGAGGAGGUCGCCCCCGUCCUAGCUCCAGCCGACCUCCAGGAGGAGGUCGCCCCCGUCCUGGCUCCAGCCGACAUCCAGGAGAAGGUCGCUCCUGCAUCGGUUCCUGGCGGCUCGGCCCCGGCCGCACCUGCAUUGGUUACUGGCGGCUCGGUCCCGGCCGCACCUGCGUCAGUUACUGGCGGCUCGGACCCGGCCGCACCUGCAUCGGUUACUGGCGGCUCGGCCCCCGCCGCACCUGCAUCGGUUACUGGCGGCUCGGCCCCGGCCGCACCUUCAUCGGUUACUGGCGGCUCGGCCCCGGCCGCACCUGCAUCGGUUCCUGGCGGCCCGGCUCCGGCCGCAUCUGCAUCGGUUCCUGGCGGCCCGGCUCCGGCCGCAUCUGCAUCGGUUCCUGGCGGCCCGGCUCCGGCCGCAUCUGCAUCGGUUCCUGGCGGCCCGGCUCCGGCCGCAUCUGCACCUGUUUCUCGUCGCGGUGGUCCAAGGAGGACGCCGCUGGUUCCUGUUUCUCGUCGCGGUGGUCCAAGGAGGACGCCGCUGGUUCCUGUUUCUCGUCGCGGUGGUCCAAGGAGGACGCCGCUGGUUCCUGUUUCUCGUUGCGGUGGUCCAAGGAGGACGCCGCUGGUUCCUGUUUCUCGUCGCGGUGGUCCAAGGAGGACGCCGCUGGGUCCUGUUUCUCGUCGCGGUGGUCCAAGGAGGACGCCGCUGGUUCCUGUGUCUCGUCGCGGAGGUCCAAGGAGGACGUCUCUGGUUCCUGCCUCGUCCUUGUCUCGGCUGCCGGACUGGUGGCCUCGCCCUCGGCGCCUCCUGCUGCCUGGAUGGCGCUGCCUCCUGCGGCGCCAUCCGCCUCGACCCCUCAGUCCUCAGGAUCGGCGUCCGCCUGGAGGACAUCGCCGUUCGGGGUGGUCCCCGGGGACGUCGGCCCAGCCCAAGGGCACUAAGAGUGCCACCCUGGCUCAGCGGCGGCUGAGCAGGAUCUCGCCACGCCUUCACCCCGCCCGUGAGGGAAUCCCUGGACUUCGUGUCUUCCCCGUUUGUGGACUUUGGUUUUGUUAUGUGGACUCUUGUUUUGGCCCUCCUCCGGUCCUCCCUCCACCCACCCUGCUCGUUUCCCGUGAGGGGUAG